rnacentral:pre_miRNA from 1 species
GCUGAACUAUUUUUGCGAUGUGUUCCUAAUAUGUAAUAUAAAUGUAUUGGGAACAUUUUGCAUUCAUAGUCUUGCAUC